ACACAGGGAAUUGCCUCAGUACGGCGAAGUGAAGCGGCAAGAGCUCAAAUUUGAAAGCUGGCCCCUUCGGGGUCCGCAUUGUAAUUUGCAGAGGAUGCUUCGGGAGCGGCCCCCAUCUAAGUGCCCUGGAACGGGCCGUCAUAGAGGGUGAGAAUCCCGUCUGGGAUGGGGUGCCCGCGCCCGUGUGAAGCUCCUUCGACGAGUCGAGUUGUUUGGGAAUGCAGCUCUAAAUGGGUGGUAAAUUUCAUCUAAAGCUAAAUACUGGCCGGAGACCGAUAGCGCACAAGUAGAGUGAUCGAAAGAUGAAAAGCACUUUGAAAAGAGAGUUAAACAGCACGUGAAAUUGUUGAAAGGGAAGCGCUUGCGACCAGACUCGCUCGCGGGGUUCAGCCGGCCUUCGGGCCGGUGUACUUCCCCGCGGGCGGGCCAGCGUCGGUUUGGGCGGCCGGUCAAAGGCCCUCGGAAUGUAACGCCCCCCGGGGCGUCUUAUAGCCGAGGGCGCCAUGCGGCCAGCCCGGACCGAGGAACGCGCUUCGGCUCGGACGCUGGCAUAAUGGUCGUAAGCGACCCGUCUUGAAAACACGGACCAA
rnacentral:rRNA from 1 species